rnacentral:lncRNA from 1 species
GUGGUGCUUAAUAGUGUUUUGAAUUUGAAACAAAAGCAAGUUGGUUGAUGAAACUUUUAUCACCAACAAGUACUUGCUUUUUAUAGAAUUUUAUUGGAAAAUAUGCCAGUUAUACAAGGUUGUGCUAGUGUGCUUAGAAACAGUGUAAACAUAUUGUUAUGAAUUAUAUUUUUCCUUUAACCACAAGUUUUAGACUCAUUGUAUGCUGAUAACUGGGCUGAUGGCUGGAGUUCUAACCAAAAUAUUGUUCAGUAUAUAAAGAAAUUUUGUUUAAAGCAAAUUUUAUGUUUGCAUGGAAUAUAGGUGACAUUUAUCAUCUGGAAAGAUGAAGAUAGAACUAAAGAGUUUUGGAUACUUUUACCAACAGAAAUAUAGGAAUAAAAUUUGUCCUGGAUCAAAAAAAGUAGUAGAAAAAUACAUUUUCAUGAUUUCCAAAUUAUGUGGAACAAUGGCCACUAUAAGACCAAUGUUUACAGAAAACCAACAUUUGUAUCUGUACUUAUCCCUACAUGAUUCAAUACACAAUGAAUUUAUGAAAGCAAUUUAUAAAAAGAUUAUUGAGAUUAGUAGUGGACAAACUAAAAUAUAAUAAAUAGCCUUCUAUAUCAGGGGUUCUUAAACUUAUGUAGUCUGAAGACCCCCCCUCUUAAACAAGAUUUUUUUUGUGGACGUCAUCCCAACCCUAGGCAUUGUAGGUCAUUCUUGAGACUUAAUUUCUGGCUCAAUAAUCUCAUAGGCACUAUGUUAUAAUAAAUAUUGACAAAAAUGUAUCGCUAGUUAUUUUAAUAAAUGAUCUUGUGCAUUAUAGAGAUGAACAUUUUUAUUAAGAUAUAGAAUAAAAAACAUAAAAUGAAUAAAAAUAGUACAUAAUAAAAUACAUAAAAAUCAC